GACGGAGGAUGCAAGUGUUAUCCGGAAUCACUGGGCGUAAAGCGUCUGUAGGUGGUUUAAUAAGUCAACUGUUAAAUCUUGAGGCUCAACCUCAAAAUCGCAGUCGAAACUAUUAGGCUAGAGUAUAGUAGGGGUAAAGGGAAUUUCCAGUGGAGCGGUGAAAUGCGUAGAGAUUGGAAAGAACACCGAUGGCGAAGGCACUUUACUGGGCUAUUACUGACACUCAGAGACGAAAGCUAGGGGAGCAAAUGGG
rnacentral:rRNA from 1 species